CAGGCUGAGCAGUAGCUGAUCCGGGAGAACAGAGGGUGGCAGCAUUUAACCUGGGUGUUGCUGAGGCCACAAGGGAAAGGUCUGCCUCAAGACCCAGCAGGUUCUAUGGCUUGUUCAUCUUCUGGGGCCGCCCGCUGAUGACCCCGCGGCUGCCCAAGCAGAGGCAGUACCUGCAGGAGCUUCUGGAGCAGGCUGACAGCAGAUGGAGCAGACAGAUACAGGACCUCAUAGACCGCCUGGGACAGGUCCAGCUAGCAGCCGAGUGAGUGUGUCUGGAGGAGCUCAGUAGGAAAGCACCUGGCAGGCAGCUGGCCUCGGAGGGUACCCCGUUUGUCCUGUACGACUGUGCCCCCAAGGCGAUGGCGGAGCAGAGGGCCAGGGAGCUGUAUCUGCACCAGCUCCACAGCACCAACCAGAGGAGGAGGGAGGCACAGCUCCACCGGGCCGCCGAGCACAGGAGAGAGACGGACAGGAUCAACAGAAAGAUGAUAACUGGCCGGAUCCUUCGCCAAGAUAGGCAAAGAAUGAUGAGGGUGGGGCUAGAGGAGGCGUGGGGGCAGAGCAUGGAAGCGAAGAGACUCAGAACAGGAUAUAUGCAAUAUAAUGUGUAUUAUAAACUGGGUGGUUCAAGCCCUGAAUGCUGAUAGCAGUGGUAAACCAGAGGGCUGGCUGUUGCCUGCUGAUAGACCAGUGCUCGGGGCUGCAGCACUGUCUGCAGUUUAAGAGAUGCUACAGUGGAGAAACCAACAUGUGGAAGGAGACACGCUUCAUCAGCAGUGUGUCCACAAUGUGUUAAUCAUCAAUAAAACAGUAGUUUUGCUAACAAUA